UACAGAGGGGGCAAGCGUUAUUCGGAAUUAUUGGGCGUAAAGGGCGCGUAGGCGGCUUGGCAAGUGGAUGGUGAAAUCCCUCGGCUUAACCGAGGAACUGCCGUCCAAACUGCUUCGCUUGAGACCGGGAGAGGUGAGUGGAAUUCCCAAUGUAGCGGUGAAAUGCGUAGAUAUUGGGAGGAACACCAGUGGCGAAGGCGGCUCACUGGACCGGUACUGACGCUGAUGCGCGAAAGCGUGGGGAGCAAACGGG
rnacentral:rRNA from 1 species